CUGAUAUUUGCUCAUUCGUAUUUUUGAGGCAGAAAACCUCCAGGAAUGCAUCACUAAAGGAACUUCAGGAAUAUCCAGGAAGUCUUAAACCUAUGGCUGGAGACGCAUCCCUGAAACAACAAAUCUGUUCCUGCAAGAAGGACUGAACAUGGACCCUUGAGAUAACAGAGCCCAAACUGGAGUACGGGCCAUGCUAGUUGGGUGUUGGGUCUGACCUCUGAACCCCCUUCACUGGAGGCUCCUUCAGCUUUGUUUUGGGCCUCCGUCCCCCUUGCCAAGGUGAAUCAGACCCCGGGCGGGUCACAGAGAGAGGGAGCCACUGGGGGUCUCAUUGUCUUCCUAUUCACUUCAUAGAUAAGUGGACAUCAGACGCUCCCUUAUAGCCACACACACUGAAGGCACAAUUUCCACACAAAGUGACAGCUCCCAGUGCGAGAGGAAUGCAUGUGAAUUGAGGAGGUUCAAAGAAGCAACAAUGUAGGAGUAUUCGCCAAGCACAGUUUCUCCUUCUUUUUAUAAUUUUGUGCAACUUAUGCAACAAUAGGAAAGAUUACCGUCAAACAAUUUAUUCUGCUGUGAAAAUUCCCUAUGAAGCAUACUUAAUCCAUCAGGAAAGAAUCUAUAUGAAGCUGUGCAAAGCGUUUUCCACCUACAUUAGAGAGAAACGCUUUCUUAAAUCAGUGAUUCAGCAGGAUUGACCAGUGCAGGCUUAUUCUGCCUUUUGUGCUUUAGGGGGCAGGAGAGAGUCAGAGGAAAAAGAUAAGAGCCGUGAAGCUGGAGCAAACCUGUGGCUGGGGGGAGAUUAGGAGGUAACUCUGAGGGGAAACCUGUCCCCCACCCCCAUGUACAUAUUCUGGGCCGAGACCAGCAGAUGAGGAUUAUUUCAGACUACA